UGUACAGUAUUUUUUAAGUUUCUAUGUGAGGGUUGGCAUUGUGGGAUGCCAGUCUAAAUAUGUGAUGAAUUAUCUACAAGGGAGCUUCUAAAUGCACCCAUCAAUUUUUUGUUCUACAGGCACCUGUACAAGUUUUAAUCCUUAAGGUACAAGGUUAACAAUGUAUGUAGCGGGUGUUAAGAGAAAUUAAGCGGGUGUAUUUAGAAACUCCCUAUCUACAACUGAUAUUCUAUAGAUUUGAAGCCUUCAAUUUCCAAUUGGUUGAUUGAUGCCAUCACAAUUAAAUGUUGUAGUUUCUAAGUUAAUUUUGUCAUUAUACUAUUUGCAGGUUGUAAGGGCAUUAAAAUUAUUGCAGAAGGCUAGAGAUUCUUUUAGAGAUAAAUGGAGGGUGGUUUCUAUUCCUUGUGGUACGCUUCAGGUGACAUUUGUCCACAGAGGAUUUGAUGAGACACGUCGCCUUGGUCUCCGAAGUGAAACAGAACACGUAGUUAGGUUCUUGUGAAAAUUGCAUUAUUUCUUUCAACGGUUUCUCAAAAUAAUAAUUUGAGACGCUGAUGCCUUAAUGAGUUGACUGGAUUAGAUUGUGCGCCAUGCCUCUCUGAGUGGAGAAACUGGAAUGCUUGUUGUUGAUUCUGUCGUAAUUACUCAGUUCCUGAAAAUGGAAACAUUACUUGAUGACAGUUUGGACCAGAAGAUUAAAUUACUGAUUGAAAGGGGUGGCACACCAUUGACUGUAGACUUGGUGGCGAGAUUUACUAUUGCACAUUUUGUGUCUUCCUUUUGUUAUGUAAAGUAUUUGUUAAUGGUUUAACUUCGUUAUGGCAGAGUGCUAUAAUUGUUUCUAUAGAUGUCAUAAGUUGUUGUGGUAGAUAAUGAAACUGCCUGUUGUUCCAAAGUAAAGAGAUGUUGAUCGACUUAUAUGUACAUUAUUCCAUCCUUUAGUGUGCUCCACAUAGUUGGUAAUGAUCAUCAUGGAAAAAUUUGGAUGCCAGUAUGUUCUUCAGUUGUUCUGUAAAGCUCCUGCUCUUGUAUUAUUUGACAUCUGUUAUCAGAACUGUACAAUACAUGAUAUGUAUCACACUGUUCAAUUUGAUAUACCAAGCAAUUGAUCCAUAUAUGGGGGUGAGUCAACUGGAAGCCGGAAUUGCAAUGGGAUCGAAGAAUCACAAGGGAAAUUGUUGAAUCAAGCAUAUCGCGUGAUACACAUGUAGUCGACCCAACCUGAAAACUGGUGUGGAGCCCUAUUGUCUUUUUUUUUUUUUUUUGGGGUGGAUGAAAAAGUUUUCUACAGACAUUUAAGAGUGUUGAGGGUUACUUCUACUGCAUCCUUUUCCUUCCUUUCGUAUUUUAUUUCUCGGCACUCUCAAACCCUAAACUUUCUCCAUAAAAUAUUCUUCUCUCUCUACAAUACCUAGCUUACUCAGCCGAAUUUAUCCAUGUGUUUCUACUUUAAAAAAAUGAAUUUUCUGGAGGCAUCAAAUGAAAUGUUUGAAUAAGUGAUAGUGAUUUGGGUGCUUGAAUUACCUGUGUUAGUGGCUCAGAAUAAUAAAAUGCACUUCAAUUGCAACUAUUUUGAGGAGGACUAUUGUGGUGGAGUAAUUUGUAUGAAGAAUCACUUGGUGGGAACCCAUGAUAAUGUUGCCCCAUGUAAUCGAGUUUCUGAAGAUAUUUGAAAUCAUUUUUUAAACAAAUGUUUGGAGAAAAACAAAGCAAUGGUGUUGAUGCUGAAUGCUUUUUGAAGAACAAAAUGUGUGUCCUAAAACGAAGGAGGCCAUGGAUGCAUAAGUCACAAAAGGGAAGAGAACAUAACAAACUUCAGGUCAAAUGUAUUUUUCUAUGUAUAUAUAUAUAUAUAUAUAUCUUUGUAGUUUAGAAAUUAUGAUUGAACCUUUACGAUUCAUGAUUUGGGAAAAAAUAAUCUCUAUUUACAGUUCGUAUCUCAGUUUGACACUGCUUGUUAUUAUUUUUAUUUUUAAAUCUCGUAGAAAUUUACAGUUAAGGUUGAGCUGUAUCCAACUUAUAUCUCAAGUUGUGUCUGUGUCUUGAAUCUGUUAACUGAAUGGACUAUCAUUGUUCGUCAGUUAACUAAUUUUCAGAUAAACUUAUUUGGCCUGUGGAAAACUGAAUGGUUUUCUGAGUAGUGUAACAAGGCCAGAGAGAUCGUAACAGGCAUUCCUUUGGAUCGGAAAACUUCAAAUGGAGUUGUGAUGGGUGUUUACUGGUUCCUGAGGAGUGAAGGAUGCUUUAAAGUCAUACCUAUCUGAAGGAACUUUUCAUGGAAUCUCAAUCUGCUGUUUGAUUUUGCAUUGUGGAGCUAACAUAUUAGCCUGUUGAUUAAUUUCUUUUUCACAUAAUGCUGUACUUGUUGGUAUAAUUGUAACUGAUUUCUGUUAUCUAUAUUACAUUCUUCUGAUUAAUUUAGAUCUUGUGUGAUUGUUUCUCUUCUGAUUUCUUUAUUGAACUGUUUUGGGCACAUGUGUUCUAUGAAGAGUUCUUGGUUUUGAGUUGGGUUCAUUUGAGGACUUUGAAUGCACUCCCUCUUGGACUCUUGAGUGGAAUAUUUGACUUACAAGAAAGGAUCAAGUAAGAUCUUAUGAAUUUUGACUGGAGCAAUUAAGUGGUAUUCUGAAUUUUUUCUUAACCCUUGUGCACAGUUUGUUUGUUACUUUUAUUUCUCCAUAAGAUAGGAUUUGGCAAUUAAAAUAUUGGGAUGCUUUGAUAUUGUGUAUAUAUUAUUCAUUUUGACAUGAGUUUCCACCCUUCAAUAUCUGUUUUUUUCUCCCUUUAAUUUUUUAGGGAUCUCAGGUAGUGUCAUGACUGAUAUAUUGUUCUAUUAUUUUUUGUUGUAACAGCAUUCUUUGCGAUUAAUCUCUCAUAUAACAGAUAUAAUUUUUGUUGCUGGAAGUACAAAUAAUUUUGUGCUAGAAAACAUUUAUGAGUGACUGACAUAAUAAAAUAUUUACAGUAUUAUGUGUCAGUGUCACUAAUCUUGACUCCAUUCUUGAUGUGGAUAUCAAUCUUCUUUGUCAAGGUCCUUUUGAGGAGUAUUGUCUAUCUUGUGCCUUUUUGCUUUUCAUACAGUA